GAGUUUGAUCCUGGCUCAGAUUGAACGCUGGCGGCAUGCCUUACACAUGCAAGUCGAACGCGAAAGCGGGGCAACCCGCAAGUAGAGUGGCGAACGGGUGAGUAAUACAUCGGAACAUAUCCAGUAGCGGGGGAUAACCUGUCGAAAGAUAGGCUAAUACCGCAUACGACCUACGGGUGAAAGCGGAGGACCGCAAGGCUUCGCACUAUUGGAGUGGCCGAUGUCGGAUUAGCUAGUUGGUGAGGUAAAAGCUCACCAAGGCGACGAUCCGUAGCUGGUCUGAGAGGACGACCAGCCACACUGGGACUGAGACACGGUCCAGACUCCUACGGGAGGCAGCAGUGGGGAAUUUUGGACAAUGGGCGCAAGCCUGAUCCAGCCAUGCCGCGUGAGUGAAGAAGGCCUUCGGGC
rnacentral:rRNA from 1 species